UGCAGAGGAUGCAAGCGUUAUCCGGAAUGAUUGGGCGUAAAGCGUCUGUAGGUGGCUUUUAAGUCCGCCGUCAAAUCCCAGGCUCAACUCUGGACAGGCGGUGGAAACUACCAAGCUGGAGUACGGUAGGGCAGAGGAAUUUCCGGUGGAGCGGUGAAAGUGCGUAGAGAUCGGAAAGAACACCAACGGCGAAAGCACUCUGCUGGGCCGACACUGACACUGAGAGACGAAAGCUAGGGGAGCGAAUGGG
rnacentral:rRNA from 1 species